GACGAACGCUGGCGGCGUGCCUAAUACAUGCAAGUCGAACGCAGUGGGGACGGGUGAGUAACACGUGGGUAACCUCCCAUCAGAGGGGAUAACACUUGGAAACAGGUGCUAAACCGAUACUGAUGGAUGAACCCGCGGUGCAUUAGCUAGUUGGUGAGGUAACGGCUCACCAAGGCCACGAUGCAUAGCCGGCCUGGGAGGGGGGUCGGCCACACUGGGACUGGAGCACGGCCCAAGCUCCUUAGGGAGGGAACAGUAGGGGAUCUUCGGCAAUGGACGGAAGGCUGGCCGAGCAAAGCCGCGGGAGUGGAGAAGGUUUUCGGGUCGGUAAGCUCUGUUGUUAGAGAAGCGGUAACUAACCAGAAAGGGACGGCUAACUACGUGCCAGCAGCCGCGGUAAUUC
rnacentral:rRNA from 1 species